rnacentral:rRNA from 1 species
CACGUAGGGGGCAAGCGUUGUCCGGAUUUAUUGGGCGUAAAGAGCUCGUAGGUGGUUCGGUAAGUCGGGUGUUAAACCCCCAGGCUCAACCUGGGGACGCCACUCGAUACUGCUGUGACUAGAGUCCGGUAGGGGAGCGUGGAAUUCCUGGUGUAGCGGUGAAAUGCGCAGAUAUCAGGAGGAACACCAGCGGCGAAGGCGGCGCUCUGGGCCGGUACUGACGCUGAAGAGCGAAAGCGUGGGGAGCAAACAGG